UGCGUAGGCGGAAUGGCAAGUCGGAGGUGAAAGCCCCCAGCUUAACUGGGGAAGUGCCCUCGAUACUGCUGUUCUCGAGAGAGGUAGGGGCGUGUGGAACUUCCGGUGGAGCGGUGAAAUGCGUAGAUAUCGGAAGGAACGCCGGUGGCGAAAGCGAUGCGCUGGACCUUUUCUGACGCUGAGGCACGAAAGCUAGGGGAGCGAACG
rnacentral:rRNA from 1 species